GACUGCGUGUUCAGCCCAGAGCGAACUAUUCUUUCGCCUUUUACCAAAGAAUACCGUGUGCGGGACACACAAGCGGCUUCAACCAAUCUUGCAUCUAACACUUCAACUUUCAU
rnacentral:snRNA from 1 species